UUCCGUUGGACUCUUAAUCCAACGGUCGUGGGUUCGAGCCCCACGUUGGGCG
rnacentral:tRNA from 1 species